rnacentral:rRNA from 1 species
UGGGGAAUCUUGCACAAUGGACGAAAGUCUGAUGCAGCAACGCCGCGUGGGGGAUGAAGCUUCUCGGAGUGUAAACCCCUUUCGACCCGGAAGAAUGCCCGCAAGGGUUUGACGGUACGGGUAUAAGAAGCCCCGGCUAACUACGUGCCAGCAGCCGCGGUAAUACGUAGGGGGCCAGCGUUGCUCGGAAUUACUGGGCGUAAAGGGUCCGUAGGCGGUGUGGUAAGUCGGGAGUGAAAUCUCUGGGCUUAACCCAGAGGCUGCUUCCGAAACUGCCGUGCUAGAGUGUGAGAGAGGCGAGUGGAAUUACGGGUGUAGCGGUGAAAUGCGUAGAUAUCCGUAGGAACAUCCGAGGCGAAGGCGGCUCGCUGGAUCACAACUGACGCUGAGGGACGAAAGCUAGGGGAGCAAACAGGAUUAGAUACCCUGGUAGUCCUAGCCCUAAACCAUCAGGACUUGGGGUUUGCCCUGUACGGGGCAAGUCCCGUAGCUAACGCGUUAAGUCCUGCGCCUGGGGAGUACGGUCGCAAGACUG